rnacentral:rRNA from 1 species
AUGAACGCUGGCGGCGUGCCUAAUACCUGCAGGUCGAGCGAACGGACGAGAAGCUUGCUUCUCUGAUGUUAGCGGCGGACGGGUGAGUAACACGUGGAUAACCUACCUAUAAGACUGGGAUAACUUCGGGAAACCGGAGCUAAUACCGGAUAAUAUUUUGAACCGCAUGGUUCAAAAGUGAAAGACGGUCUUGCUGUCACUUAUAGAUGGAUCCGCGCUGCAUUAGCUAGUUGGUAAGGUAACGGCUCACCAAGGCAACGAUGCAUAGCCGACCUGAGAGGGUGAUCGGCCACACUGGAACUGAGACACGGUCCAGACUCCUACGGGAGGCAGCAGUAGGGAAUCUUCCGCAAUGGGCGAAAGCCUGACGGAGCAACGCCGCGUGAGUGAUGAAGGUCUUCGGAUCGUAAAACUCUGUUAUUAGGGAAGAACAUAUGUGUAAGUAACUGUGCACAUCUUGACGGUACCUAAUCAGAAAGCCACGGCUAACUACGUG